rnacentral:misc_RNA from 1 species
GUCAGGUGCCAGGGUGGA